rnacentral:rRNA from 1 species
AUUGAACGCUGGCGGCAUGCUUUACACAUGCAAGUCGAACGGUAACAGGCCGCAAGGUGCUGACGAGUGGCGAACGGGUGAGUAAUGCAUCGGAACGUGCCCAGUCGUGGGGGAUAACUACUCGCAAGAGUAGCUAAUACCGCAUACGAUCUAUGGAUGAAAGCGGGGGACCGUAAGGCCUCGCGCGAUUGUAGCGGCCGAUGUCAGAUUAGGUAGUUGGUGGGGUAAAGGCUCACCAAGCCAACGAUCUGUAGCUGGUCUGAGAGGACGACCAGCCACACUGGAACUGAGACACGGCCCAGACUCCUACGGGAGGCAGCAGUGGGGAAUUUUGGACAAUGGGCGCAAGCCUGAUCCAGCAAUGCCGCGUGCAGGAAGAAGGCCUUCGGGUUGUAAACUGCUUUUGUACGGAACGAAACGGCUCUGGUUAAUACCCGGGGCUAAUGACGGUACCGUAAGAAUAAGCACCGGCUAACUACGUG